rnacentral:rRNA from 1 species
UACAGAGGUGGCAAGCGUUGUUCGGAAUUACUGGGCGUAAAGGGCGCGUAGGCGGCCUCUAAGUCAGACGUGAAAUCCCCAGGCUUAACUUGGGAACUGCGUCUGAUACUGGAAGGCUUGAGUGCGGGAGAGGGAUGUGGAAUUCCCGGUGUAGCGGUGAAAUGCGCAGAUAUCGGGAAGAACACCCGUGGCGAAGGCGGCUCUCUGGGACGGUACUGACGCUGAGACGACGAAAGCGUGGGGAGCGAACAGG